rnacentral:rRNA from 1 species
GGCCAUCUCGCGCGCUAGACAUGCAGUCGAGCGGCAGCGGGGGAAAGCUUGCUUUCCCGCCGGCGAGCGGCGGACGGGUGAGUAAUGUCUGGGAAACUGCCUGAUGGAGGGGGAUAACUACUGGAAACGGUAGCUAAUACCGCAUAACGUCUUCGGACCAAAGUGGGGGACCUUCGGGCCUCAUGCCAUCAGAUGUGCCCAGAUGGGAUUAGCUUGUUGGUGGGGUAACGGCUCACCAAGGCGACGAUCCCUAGCUGGUCUGAGAGGAUGACCAGCCACACUGGAACUGAGACACGGUCCAGACUCCUACGGGAGGCAGCAGUGGGGAAUAUUGCACAAUGGGCGCAAGCCUGAUGCAGCCAUGCCGCGUGUAUGAAGAAGGCCUUCGGGUUGUAAAGUACUUUCAGCGGGGAGGAAGGUGUUGUGGUUAAUAACCGCAGCAAUUGACGUUACCCGCAGAAGAAGCACCGGCUAACUCCGUGCCAGCAGCGGCGGUAAUA